rnacentral:rRNA from 1 species
AGUGAACGCUGGCGGUAGGCCUAACACAUGCAAGUCGAACGGCAGCACAGUAAGAGCUUGCUCUUACGGGUGGCGAGUGGCGGACGGGUGAGGAAUACAUCGGACUCUACUUUUUCGUGGGGGAUAACGUAGGGAAACUUACGCUAAUACCGCAUACGACCUACGGGUGAAAGCAGGGGAUCUUCGGACCUUGCGCGAUUGAAUGAGCCGAUGUCGGAUUAGCUAGUUGGCGGGGUAAGGGCCCACCAAGGCGACGAUCCGUAGCUGGUCUGAGAGGAUGAUCAGCCACACUGGAACUGAGACACGGUCCAGACUCCUACGGGAGGCAGCAGUGGGGAAUAUUGGACAAUGGGCGCAAGCCUGAUCCAGCCAGACCGCGUGGGUGAAGAAGGCCUUCGGGUUGUAAAGCCCUUUUGUUGUGAAAGAAAAGCAGCAGGUUAAUACCCCGCCGUUCUGACGGUACCCAAAGAAUAAGCACCGGCUAACUUCGUG